CUCACUCCCAACUCGUCAAACGUGUGACGCAUGGUCAGGCUCCCUCUGCUGCACUUAUGGACGCGCAGGGUACCCCCCUCGCGUCGGGAAUUGACGUGAAGGGUCCUCCGAUUGAAGAGAUUGCCGCGGAAGAGCCUGUUGUCGAUGGAGGAUCACUAACAGGAGCGUGGAAGACUCCAGAAUCCACUCUGGCUGGAAUCCGGUGGAUAUGCAGUGUUUACAGGAGGCGCUGGAAGGUUUCCCUAAUAGUUCCUGGUGAAUCAAAGCAGAACCAUAAAGGUUGCUGGACUGCAUGAUGGCCUUACCCCUGAGCCGUCAUCCUGUUAAAGGAGGAACCAGUUAGAAGCUGUUUUCAAAGUAGCUCAGCAGAUUUCAUCUCAACAGACAAAGCCGAUGUCAGA